GUAUGACACCGAUGCCACCAGUGCCUUAUCCAACACUUAACUACAGCUCACCACUGCAGAUUCCACCUGGGAUGUUGCGGAAGACUGCCACCAGCACCGUCUCAUCUGUACUAUCCAAGACUGAUCUCAUCUCGGCUGUUCUGCGGCCCAAGAGAUGCUCCACCUCGUACAGCUGUGAUGUGACAUCUGUACUAUCCAAGACUGAUCUCGUCCCGACUGUUCCGCUGUACAUAAGCUAGUUUCUCCAUAUGGAGUAGUCAUCUUCACCCAACCACUUCGCCUGCCUGCACCAGUGUUGCCUCCAUCCAGGCCGUAUGACACCGAUGCCACCAGUGCCUUAUCCAACACUUAACUACAGCUCACCAUUGCAUAUUCCACCUGGGAUGUUGCGGAAGACUGCCACCAGCACCGUCUCAUCUGUACUAUCCAAGACUGAUCUCAUCUCGGCUGUUCCGCUGUACAUAAGCUAGUUUUUCCUUAUGCAGUAGUCAUCUUCACCCAACCACGUCCCCUGCCUGCACCAGUGUUGCCUCCACCCAGCCUCCGUGACACCGAUGCCACCAGCGCCUUUCCAUCAGAAGUAGUCAUCUUCACCCAACCACUUCCCCUGCCUGCACCAGUGUUGCCUCCACCCAGCCUCUGUGACACCGAUGCCACCAGCGUCUUAUCCAACACUUAACCACAGCUCACCACUGCAAAUUCCACCUGGGAUGUUGCAGAAGACGCUGGCCUGCCACCAGCAUCGUCUCAUCACCCAGGGAUCCUGGCGCCUUGGGCACCUGCCUCGUCCAUAUCAGCCUCCACCACCAUCACCAGCCCUGCCUCCACCUCCGUCAUUGUUGGCAUAGGUCCCAAAUGACUUUUCUGUAGAACUGCAAUAGUGUGUUGAUAUUGCAAUACAAGCAUAACAGUGGAGAGCAAUAUUUCUGUAGCAUGCCAUAGUUGUGUCCACAUAUAUUACUUAUUAUCAUAAUACUGCAUUUCAUAACUCAUACUAUAUAAUUGAAGGGCCAUUCAGAUAUCAAUAUACUUGCAAUGCAUGUUUUCAGGGCUUCAUAUGGUAAAUGGUUUAAUUGAGGGGCCUUUUGUUGAUACCAUUUUUUUGUUGUUGACACAAUGUGUCAGUUGGAUGUUUUUGGGGACCCUGGGCUUUAUUACACACAAUGCUUUUUUUCCCUAUUGGGGCCUGUUAUGCAUAUCAGGGAUGAAUCUGAAAACCUUUGGGCCCGUACAGCAAUAACCACCACCACCAUCGCUGCUGCCCCCCAACACCAUUGCCACCACCAUCACUGGAAAGCAGGACGCAAGGGGCCCAGAAGGCAAAGAGGGAGGAGCAUGAUGUUGCACAAUACGUCUGUAUGGCAAGGGAGGGCUGGGGCUCUUCCUAGAGUGUUAUAGUUGUACUCCAUAAUAAAAUGAAUACAUUUGAUUGUGCCAA